UACGAAGGGGGCUAGCGUUGCUCGGAAUUACUGGGCGUAAAGGGCUCGUAGGCGGCCAACUAAGUCGGACGUGAAAUCCCUCAGCUUAACUGGGGAACUGCGUCCGAUACUGGAUGGCUUGGAUUCGGGAGAGGAAUGCGGAAUUCCAGGUGUAGCGGUGAAAUGCGUAGAUAUCUGGAGGAACACCGGUGGCGAAGGCGGCAUUCUGGACCGACAUUGACGCUGAGGAGCGAAAGCCAGGGGAGCAAACGGG
rnacentral:rRNA from 1 species